GUUGCUUCUCAGCCUUUUGGCUACGAUCAGUUGUCGUAUCUGUUCUUGUGUAUAUUGAAUGUCUGAUACAUUCUCUACUUGAGGACUCUAUAUUAAAUUGGUUUUUAGAGCUGAGAGAGGGGCUUGCUCCAUCCACUCCACACAUCAACCUGGUAUUACAGUACCUCCAUGAAUGGUGCACCUUCU